rnacentral:rRNA from 1 species
CCUACGGGUGACAGCAGUGAGGAAUAUUGGUCAAUGGACGCAAGUCUGAACCAGCCAUGCCGCGUGCAGGAAGACGGCUCUAUGAGUUGUAAACUGCUUUUGUACGAGGGUAAACGCAGAUACGCGUAUCUGUCUGAAAGUAUCGUACGAAUACGGAUCGGCUAACUCCGUGCCAGCAGCCGCGGUAAUACGGAGGAUUCAAGCGUUAUCCGGAUUUAUUGGGUUUAAAGGGUGCGUAGGCGGUCGGAUAAGUUAGAGGUGAAAGCCCGAGGCUCAACUUCGGAAUUGCCUCUGAUACUGUUCGGCUAGAGAGUAGUUGCGGUAGGCGGAAUGUAUGGUGUAGCGGUGAAAUGCUUAGAGAUCAUACAGAACACCGAUUGCGAAGGCAGCUUACCAAGCUACUUCUGACGUUGAGGCACGAAAGCGUGGGGAGCAAACAGGAUUAGAUACCCCUGUAGUC